GGGCCAAGUGCUGUCAAACUGCAUUGAUUCCAGAGUGUGGCUGCGUGCUCCCACGUCUCCUGAUCUGAAGCGGGCUUCGUGGCUCUUUCUUUCCUCACUGCUUCCACGAUGGCCUCGCUCUUCUGGAGGGAAGCGGAGAAGAGAGAGAGAGAGAGAGAGAAACCACACGCACACCCCACCCAGCCCGGGCGGGAAAGAGAACGCCCGAGAGCGGAACUCUCCCCUUCCGAGGCCUCUUUCCCGCUCCACUCUUCCGCCCUGACGGGGCCCGGAGACAAAUUGGCAUGUCAGAGGCAGCUGGAGCGGGUUUGCGGGGAGAAUUGUGCAAAUGAAUACAGAUGGGCUCCGGGCGGCCUCGUUUAAUCCAGGGCAUGUUUGCAAUAAAGCCGGCGCUUCCACGGCAGGCCUCAAAUUGGAUGAAAAUUGUCCUUGAGCGGCGGUAGAGAAAGCAAGGCAGGCAGGGGUGCUGUUUAAACUGGUUUGGUUUUGUCUUUUUUCCCCCUCCAUGGUGGAGGGGGAGGGUGUUGAGAAGAAGGGCCCAGCCGCUCUCUGGGGGCCGUAAUGCUCGGAAACCCAUCUGUCUCCCCGCGGCGAAUGUAAGCAAAGGAAGGGAGAAGCCCCGGCCGGGCUUUAUUGAAAUGAGAAUUGACUUGAUUGUUGGGGAUUACGGAGCGUGGCACGGAACGGCGCGGCGGAUAAUAGAUUUGUUAGCAUAAUAGAGCCCCUCGCCAGGAGCUGUUAGCGUCACGCCUGGGUGGAGGCCGCGAAGCGCCGACAGCUCGUACAUCACACCAUUGAGGCUCCGGGAGGGAGCCGUAGCCGCCAGAAAGACAAACAGCGCUCGGCUCAGCUGCCUUGAGGAGCGCGCGGAGGGAAGGGGAAGCGGGAAGACCGCGCCAGGAGGGCGUGGCCGAAGCGGGAGAGGGGGCGCGUGCGUCAAUCUCGAGCUUUGAUUGGCUGAGGCGCGGCAAAGUUUGAGCGGGAUCGCUAAAGGCAAGGAAGUGGCGCUCCUGGGGAACACCUCGCGCGGGUAGGCCUCAUCCCAGGAUUGUACUAAAAGCCCUCUCGAAGCUCUAAGCCAGACUGCUUUUAAAUAUACGUAAGGAAGAGGGGCCGAUCAAGGCCAAGAUGGAUGGAUGGUAUCCUUGAAGUGACUGGCUUGACCUUGAAGGAGCUGGAGUGUCAGUGGCAAACAGGGAGCUCUGGCAUGGGCUGGUCCAUGAGGUCACAAAGAGUCCAAAGUGACUGAACGAAUAAACAACAGGGACAGCUUAGACAAAUGACAAGGAGGAAGGCGCAGGGUGGCGUAAAAAACCUUCAGAAAAAGGAGCUACACUAUUGGAGUCUUUGUUCAUUAAGUUAUGAAUGUUUAUAUUACGAUGAUGGUAAUGACAGUAUGAAUAAAGCUGUAUUUGUAAAUGCCCCAUGUUGCAGACAAGGAAAGUAGACUCAAAGUCUGCAGCUUCCUUGUGGAGACUUGACUCUUUUGUUAAUCUUGACAAGAAUAAAUUUGUUGAAUCAAUGGGAUUCGUCUGUCUUGACUCAGCAUUCACUUAUUACUUGAAUGGGUCUACUUUAAAUGGGACUAACCAACAGGAUUCCAGUUGUAUGUUAAUAGUUGCAACAAGAACUAAAUGCAAUCACUUUGAGGUUAACUAUAUAAAAUGUGUGAAGUUAAAAUGAAACAUCAUAUUUCACAAUUUACAUGGGCCUGGGGCAGAAGUUUUUUCCUGGUCAACUCAACUGACUGUUGAUUUUAUUCUCACUGUCAUAUUAUUACAAGUUUGCACUCCUGCCACUCUUGCUUGUUGAACUGAGACCAGCAGCUGCCUUUGCCACUUUAGUAUUCUGAAUUGUGAGCAAAUGGAGGAAAAUGCAGCACAUAGGGAGAAUGUGUGGCCCUCCAGAUGUGUUGGUCUGCAACUCCCAGCAGUCCUAGCCAUUGUAGCUAAUGAUAUGGGGGUCAUGAGAACGACACUCUUGCAAUGUUUGAACAUUCCUCACCCUGAAUGACUCUCCCAUGUUUCCAAUACACUUCUACUGAUUUUUGGGGCAACAGUAUUAAGCAGCCAUUUUUCACCCUGAAGGCACCAGAUCCAUUUGAUCUUGGAAGCUAAGCAAAGUCAUGUUUGGUUAGUACUUGGAUGGGAGACUACCAAGGAAUAUCAGACAUUACAGGCUAUACUUAAGAGGAAGGACCUAGCAAACCUUCCUCUGGUUAGAAAACCCUAUGAAAUUCUUGGUGUUGCCAAAAGUCAACAGGUGACCUGAAGGCAUACACAGAAAGACACAGACAUAUAUGUUGAUGUAACUUUUUUUAUUUGGAAAGGAAGGAUCCAGGCUGACUGCAGAGGCCAACUUCCCAAUAGCUGCAGACCAGAGAGGCUCCCUAAAGGAACCUGGGAUCUCAAGGGAGCAGCUGUUUGAGAAAUGUCACAGGUUGACCUCCUGUUUCCUUGACAAGAGUGCUGGCGGCUGAGGUGAAGAAGUUGGUAAUUUCUCCUGUCACUCAGGCAGGGGAUGCGUUAUUAAGCUGUGGCAGGUGAAGGUGUAGCUGGUUUCCCCAGGGGAGGCUUAGGGAAAGCAUGUUUGUCUCUCUCCACAGUGCACUUCAAAGCUGUGACGGUGCUGGUUCUGCUGUGGUCUUUUAGGGUGGUAAAAACCUUGGACCCAAAGUGCAGCUGCAAUGUUGAAUCCAGAAACCUUGGACAGUGGCACAAGAACAAGAGGGAUCCUUUAUAGAGGAAGUCAGUGAAGCUGGCCUUUUAUAACUUUGUGUUUUUUUGAGAGUCUGCAAUGUUUUUGGAUCAGUUAGGAUUGGAGCCCAAUUCUUCAGAAUGGAGCUUUGAAUGCAUGCCUCGCACACUCUGCAAACAUCUCCUUUUUGCACCUUCCAGCCUGCCUACUUACCUGCCCAUGCUCUGGCGGCAAGGCUCAGCUGGGCUUCUGGAGCUCCACAGGACGGCUCCCUUCUUGAUGGCACAUGUCAGCCAGGAGGCGGCCUGUCAAGAGGAGCCUUUUCCCUGGGCAGUCACGCCUGUUGCCUUGAUGGGCUGGCUGGCAGCAACACAGAGCUGGACACCUGCCGGCUUUUGAGCACAAACAAGGAGGGAGGGGGAAAAUCUCCCUCCUCGCCCUCCCCCAGAGUCACCUCUUGCCCAGGCUUAAUGAAAUAUUGAAGCCGGUUGCUGGUGACAGACAGCUGCCGGCUGCAGGCUGCGCCAGAGCGAGGAGUGGAGGAGCGUGGAUAUGAGAUCUGAAGACUGGCAGCAGAGAGUAAUGGAUGGGUGCAAUUAAGCAGUCCCCCCUCCCCUGGAGAGGAGAGUAGCAAAAUCCCAGUGCUGCAAAAGGGACAGGUGGGUGGAGGAUCCCUGAGGACUACAAUACUUCAGAGGGAAUGCCACUGUCACGGUUUACAUGAGGGAAAGUCCUGGUUUACCCCCAUCCCUGCCAUGGAGAGGAUGCUCAGUUCUAGUACAGUAUGUCUCUAUCUGAUGUCCCCCUUGGCUACAUUUUUUCUCUUUUUUGGAAAUUCACCGGGGACCAGUAGCCAAUGACUCAGGGAUUGGCAUUGGUCCAGAGACCACUACAUUAAGCAGCACUUGUCUAUUACAUACAAGUGUAAUGAUAGCAAAGUUUGGCUCUCUGGAUAUUGUGGAACUGUAACUCCAAGCAGUUCUAUCUAGUAUAGUUUAUGGUGAGGAAUAUGGGAAGUUGCCAUUCAGCAACAGAUUGAGGGAUGCAUGAUUGUGUGUGUAUGUGUGUUUGUGUGCCUUAAAAUUGUAUAUUUAUAAUGGCCCCUUAAAUUCUUAUAGGGAUUUCUUAGAAAAAAAUACUCAUAGGUGGCUUUGCCAGUUCAUUCUUGUGAUAUACAUUCUACAGCACCUGAUAUCUCCCAUCCAAAUACAAUCCAAGUCUGACCCCACUUAGCUUUCAAAACAAAACAGGAGCUGGUGACUUCAGGGUUGUGUGAUUAUCAGCCUUGCAUUAGUAGAUAGUGAAUUGGUGUCUGAGACCCCUACUACACUGUCAUAUAAUCCAGUUAUUCAAAUCUGAUAAUACACAUUACCUGCUUUGAACUGGAUUAUAUGAGUCUAUACUGCCAGAUAAUCCAGUUCAAAGCAGAUAAUCUGGAUUUUAUAUGGCAGUGUAGAAAGGGCCUGGGUGGCUAUGAGAAAGGCAGGGUAAAAGGUGUAUGGAAGGCAAAGCUGGGGGAAAACUAUUCAUUUGCUGCUCUUCCAUGAAAUUAAAAUUGGUGACCUGAGGCAGCCAUACCUUCCUCUGCAUCAUGGUACGAUCUGAUCUGCAAGGACUUCCUGUAGCAUUAGACAAUUGAUAUACAAGAUUUAUAGAGAUUAGUUUGAUCUUUCCUAUCAUUGUUAAUUGUUUGGUAUAAAAAUGUUUGGGCAAAUAUUAAUGUAAUAAAAUGCCCAUCCUAUUUCCAAGCAAAAUAUCUGUAUUUCGUCUAAGGGGAAGUAUGUAUAACAAUUCCAUAAAUAGCUACAGAUAUUACCAAAAUGUGAUUUUCAAGGAAAGAGCAAGGGUGAUUCUGAAUUUCAUAGAAGUAGCUGUGUUAGUCUCUUGCAGCAUAAGAAGGAGGCGGAGAAGAAAGAAAAGUAUCACCACUUUUAAAACUUACAGGUUUUAUUUUAGCAUAAGUUUUUGUGGCUACCCUAACAAUUAAAGUUGAAUAGGGGAAUAUGAAUGGUACAUAUACAGAUAAAUUUAUCAUUCAUAGAUUUAUAACAAUACUAUAUGUUGCAGAUUGUAGCUUUGGCACAGCUUCCUUUUGCUUAGCUGUUCACACAUUCCUGCUUCCACAAGCAUGGUAAAUUUCAGGUCAGAUGUUAUUUAAGGGGACGAAACGGUGUCAUCCUCCAUUUUUUUGUUGGACUGCAGUUUCCAAGACUCCUCACUAUUAGCUUUGCUGGCUUAGGCAGAUGGGUGUAAUAGUCCAACAAAAUUUGGAGGGUUGUGCUUUCUUCCAUGUCUGCUUUAUAGCCCUUUCACUGGAGUGCAAUGUUUGCUAAUGAAGCCAAGGAUUUAAAGGACCCAGGUUAUGGUUCUAAGAAAAACUUAAUUUUCUUACCUCCCGCUCCUCCUACCCUCCUCUGCCAUUCCAGCCAUUUUGCUGUAUUCUGAAGAGUCUAAUAUUGGCUUGUCAAUGGAUAAAAGGGCAAAAAAGGGAAUAGCAAAUGAUCAGGAAGCAGUUGGAGUACCCUUCCUUGCCAGGAAAUGCAAAAACCUGUGGAGCUAUUUCACUUACAAUAAAGAUGACCAAAGGAGGACAUGGUGAGAGUUUUAUAAAAUUUUGCCUUGUAUGGAAAAAACAAACAGAGGUUCCUCCCUCCCAUUUUCAUAAUGGCAAAGAACAGGUUCACCCAAUGAAACUGAUUGACAGUAGAUUCAGGACAGGAAGAGCAAAGAACUUUUCUGCAGAAUGCACUAUUAACUCAAUGUGCUUGACCACCAGGAAAAAAUGUAGUGAAGGACAUUAAUUUAAAAAAGAGAAUGACACAAAUCCCUGGAGGCUACAUAUACCAGGAGACACCGAAAAUAAUCAGGAAUGUGUGAUGUAAAGAAGGGCUGUGCUCUUGACAAAACUACAAGUGUGUGAUUUAAAUGUACACAACUACAACAAAUUCACAGGAACUUUGGAAGCAGGAUGCUGGACUAGAUGGAUAGAUAAUCUGGUCUAGAAUGGCUCCUGUGUUCCCACUUGUUAGGUUUUCUCAUGACACUCAUUUUCUCACAUCCAGUGGGUAGAAAUUGUUAGAACACUGGCUUUGCUAGGCUACUUUUUAAAAAUUUGAAAUUAAAAUUUCAUUAGCCAGGUGAGAUAUGUAUUUUCCUCCAACCCAUGCAGACAGUUCCCUUAUGGCAAGGGAUUUACAAUUCCCUUCAGAUGUUAUUGAGCUGCAACUCCUAUCAGUCCUAGCUAGAAAAGCUAAUAAAGAAAGAUCAUGGGAAUUGCCACCUAGCAACAUCUAGAAAAGCACAGUCUUCACCCUUGCUUUCGAGUCAGGGUGGACACUUUCUGUGUUCUUGGGGGCUUCAUGGUUUUACAUAAAACCAUGUGAGGAGGUGGUACUGAUUGGUCAUAUGUUUUGGCUCACAACCUGAUCACCUAGCAAGUGGCAGAGCUUUCUAUUAGGCUAGAACCUUAUAACAUGAUCUUGAUCAUCUAUGAUUGAAAGUAUUUCCUACCAGAAAUGUCUCUUCUGUAUAUUUUCUCCUACUGUUCUGAUUCACUAAACCUUGCGGCUCUUCCUUUUUCCAGAGCUGAGAGAAGAAUGAUGCUUUGUGUUGAGGGAGGGUAAUGCAUAGAAAAAUACAGCUUUUGUCCCUUCCCCUUCCUUACAGCUCCUCAGUUGGGAUUUACUGUCUGAAGAGAUGCACUGCAUUCCUGACCAUAUAAAAUUAGUCAUUUCCUAAAUCCACCGGCCAUGUGCUAAUAAAUGGCAGCCGGGCUGUAUAUCACCUGCAUGCCAGUACACGCCAAGAUUGAUAUCUGCAGGGCGGCCAGAAUUAAUUCCUUGGACAAGCGGCAUUUAUUAAGCAUUCUGAGGAUGUCAGAUGAAGAAAUCCAUCCUGCCCUCGCUGGCAAUUAGGCGGGCAGCAAAACAUCAGGGUGAAUAGAUGGGACUCCCAGUGGGGCAUGGAUGCCAUGGGUCAUAGCCUGUCCUAGCUUCAGUGAGCUCUCAGUCACAGGACACAGGAUUUAUUUGCAUUCAUUUUCGCCAUGCCACCCCACACAGGGUCUGUUAUUAGGAAUACCAUAUAGCAUAGGAAGAGUAGAAGGAUCCAGUGAGGGGACAGAGUAUCAAAAUCCAGGUUGAAGGUCCUUGCCAUUUACAAAGUCACGAUCCCAUCACUGGGAAAAAGAGUCAAGUCAGUAUAUUUCUGAGCAUAUGUAGAAUGUCUUUCCCUAACCAUAUUACCAAAAGGUGUUUGCUUGAAGUUGAUGAUUAUAAAAUGAAUGCUUAGGAUUAGCUAAAGCAUUAUGAUUCUCUGGCUAUUGAACAAUAGGUGGUGAAUAUUUAUCUUUCCAACAAGUCUUUUAACAACAGUAAAAGCAUGCAGAACCCAGCCACUUUGACCAUCAGUUACUUUCCAGUUUUACAGGGAUAUCCCUAUAUGAGCUUGCCUGAACUCUACGAUUAUUGCGUGAGAGCUUUUUCAUCCAUAGUUAAUGGGGCCUUAAUGGUGAUUGCUCCCACACUGUGGAUCUUCAUCCCAUGAAAGACCGGGUUGGCUCUUUCCCCCAGCAGGCAAAGACUUCUUUUUAUUUUCACAGGACUUUGGUCUUUCACAUGAUGUGGCUGAUGGGUAUCUUAAUAGGGUGAGUUUUAUCUAUUUUACACUUACUAUGUAUUUUAAAAAUUUAAAAAUAUUUUAAUAUUACUAUCUAGUUAAUGUUGUUUAAUGUUUAUACCAUAUUUUUGUUUUGAACUUUUAUUAUCAGCCACCCUGGGUCCUAUAUCUGGAGAAAGAAAGGAUAUAAACAGAAUAAAAAAAUAAUUCGAAAGGACAUGUGCUUCUUCAUUUUUUUCUUAAUUGUCAUCUGCUUCCAUAAUACUGUCAUUGUGUAGGCGAUCAGAUUUGGUAUAUGAAGCCACCAAAAGCAAAUGAAACAAGUUCACCACCCUGCCCCUCCCCCCAUAUGAGUGAAAAUGCUGUCAUUUCUAUGGUGCUGUGGAUGGGAUCGUGGCCCAAACAAAGCUUAGCUAUAGGGAAAUCUGCAUACCCACUAGGAUGCCUUGAUACCCUGUUGUGUCUCCCUGAAAAAUCAGCUAAAUUAGCUGUACUUUUUUGCAGAACAGAAAUGUUCAUAAAACAUACUCCCCUCUUUUAGCUAAGAUCCAAUUUUUCAGAGAGUAUAAUUAGCCAUCUCCAAGAUAGAGAUUUUGUCAAGCUCACCUAGGACCUGAUCAUGUAGUCAUAUAUCCUAUUUCUGAUGCCCUUUGUAUAGGUUCUUUCACAUGACGCAUGGUCCAUUUCGUAGGUAACCUGUCAUCAGCCGUAGACAAAGGAUCUGCCAACAGUACCUUUUCUAAAAUGCGGAAACAAUAGACUUCACUUGUUUUUUAUUUGACCAUGUGGGUCAGAGGCAAGGUUUUUGCUGUGUGAUUGUACACCCAUCUGCAGGUCGUCGGCAGCUCAUCCCUGUUAACAGAUCAUGGGGUUUGCAUGACCAGAAGUGGUUUAACAGAUUGUGCUUUUGAAAGAAGUGGUUUAAAGACCAUACGUGUUCCAUUUCUCUACUUUUAUUGUGUUUCCUUUUUGUUGUUGUUACAGUAUUGAUUUCUUUAAAGUACUGUAACAUCAUUUUUUUUAAAAAAAAUCCACUUACCCGUGAUUGUUUACUUUUCCUUUUUAACUUUUUUAAAUUUUGAAACUGCAUUUCUCAAUUAGGACGGAGGUCAUGAAUUACGUGAUUGCACAAGAUUUGCCAGAGGGAGGACAGUGAUGUGGGGAAAACUGGGAGGAGUCGCCCAAUUACCAUGUCAUAAGUCAAAGUCUGGCGCUCUACAAAAGUUUGGAACUCCAGCCCCUAUCAUCCUUGACUAUUCUCCACUCUGGCUGUGACUGAUGGAUAUUCUGUUCCUCAUUUCUAGCAGCUCAUCAUAUGAAAAGGCAAGCUUCAAUCUGUUGUACAGUGUUCCCUCACUACUUUGCGGUUCACUUUUUGCGGAUUUGCGGAUUUGCUGUUUUGGGGUUUUUCAAUAAACUCUAAAAGAAUAUUAUAAAUCAUAAAAAUUACAAUUUACAGCCUAAGGAAGGGAGGAGGGAGAAGUCAAAGGGAGAGAAAAGGAGACCAAGCGGCAACAGGAGGAGAAGGAGAAGAUUUAUCAACACACAAUUGGCUGAUAAAGACUUAAAAUAGUGUAUAACUACUAAAAUAAUGUAUUGAUAUUAAAAUAAAUAUAGCAUCUCUACUUCUCGGAUUUUCACUUAUUGCGGGUGGUCCUGGAACCUAACCCCAGCAAUAAGUGAGGGAACACUGUAUCACUGUUUUUUGCCAGGUUUUCUUCCAGCCAAUACUUAAAACAAGAGCUGAAAUUCAUCUGAAAAACAUGGUCUGAACCCUCAGGUCCUCAGAUAUGGAUCCCAAGGUUGAGCCAUGAUAGAUUUCUGUCUUCAAAUACAGGGCCAAGGGAUGCCUUUCCCUCCAGAGCCACACAGCCUGGCCAUCCUUUCAGUGUAGUGCCAUUGCUUGCCCAGGGGUUCUCCACCAUGAGGCCAUGUAUUGUUGCUAAGUGGCCUCAGGUCAUUUCCAACAUACGGCAACCAUAAAGUGACCCUGCUAUGGGGUAUUCUUGGCAAGAUUUGUUCAGAGAGGGCUUGCCCUUGUCUCCUUCUGAGGCUAAGAGGAUGUGACUUGCUCAGAAUUACUCAAUAGGUUUUCAUAAUGAGUGGAGGUCUGAACACUGAUCCCCAGAGUAAUAAUCCAACACUCAAAUGAGCAUACCACAUUGGUCAAGAGCACCUCCAUAAAUGAGGGGCCUUAACUGUGCUGAGGAAACCAUCAGGGCCAGAACUCAGAAAGCAGUAAGUCUUCUUUGCUUUCUUCUGUACUGUGAGCUCUUCAGCCCCCUGUCCACAGUGCCAUCUGGACAAUGCCUGGAAACUUGAACCAAAUACCAACAUCCUACCUGAAGCAGUUGGAAGACCUGGGAACUGAAGCAUCCCCUUUCCCACAUCCCUCUCCUUGAAAUCUCUCUUGUUUCAUUGUGGGCCUCCUCCUUCUUCCCCCACAACGUGCAGAGAGAUAGCCAAAAAGAAACACAAACAUUUUGGACCCUGCGUCUCUGCCAUCGAUCACUCCCCCCACACAUCUCCAGAGAGACCCUCUCCCCCUUCGAAGACAGGUUCCGUGCCUCAUUCCCGAUUCGGCUCAUGCCCACCUGAGCUGCGCACUGACAAAUAGACAUUUAAAUCAGACAAUUAGCUGGCCUCUACUACUGACAUUUUUAAUGUAUUAAUGUGCAUCAACAGCUAAUACAUAGAAAAUUCCCCUAAUAACAGUGCUUGGGCGAAAGGGGUUGCUUUGCUGUGCUGGAGUUGGCAGUGAUAUACGACUCCGGUGGGGCGCUGGACCUGCAGUUCGCAUUAAUUACCAGCCGACUGACAGGCCGACGUGACAGCGUGGAAUAGGCAGCGGCCCUGUUAUAAUAUCUUUAGCUUUUCUCUCGCUCUCUGUAAGUGAAAGGGAUUUAUAUCGUGCAUAAUAAAGACAAGCACACACGUGUCCAGCUGCAAGAGCCGUGACGGGAGAUGUGUGUGCCACAAAAAGCAUACAGUAUGUGCACACAUACAUAUCAGUGUAACAUGAGGAAAGGUGACUGCAUGGGCUGUGCACCUUUUAUAUAUUUUGGAGUUUUUAUGCAUUCCCCAUUUCUGUGUGUGGUUGUGAAGCUAGACAACAAAAAAAGCUGAUGGAAAGAAAAUCAACUCAUUUGAGAGAUGCUUCUGGAGAAGAUAUUGCAGAUACUGUGGCCUAUUAAAGGACAGAUAAAUGGGUCCUAGGGCAAACUCUCCCUAGAAGCCACGAUGACUAAACUCAGGCUGUUGUACUUUGGACAUAUCAUGAGAAAACAUGAUUCACUAGAAAAAACAAUGUUUGGAAAGGCAGUAGGAAAAGAGGAAGACAAUUAUAGGUGAAUCGUCAAGGAAGCCAUGACAGCUCCAAGUUUCCCAAGACCUGAGCAGGGCUGUUGCCAAUAGGGUGGACUUGGUGGUCUCUCAAUUAUGGGGGUCACCAUAUGUUGAAAUCAACUUGGUGGCCGCUGCCGCCGCCUCCUCCUCCUCUUCCCCCCCCCCCUUUCUGUGUUCCUUCUCCAAAGGGUUUUCAAGAUAAAAAGGGAUUGUUGGGAGCUGAAUCAACCCUGUGAGGUAGGCAAAGUUGAGAGGCAGUGUCUCCAAAGUUUACCUAGUGGAUUUCCGAUUAUUAUUGUUGUUUUUAUUAUUAUUUCAAAGACUGAAUGGGCAUUUGUUAGGGGUGGUUUGACUGUGCUUUUCCUGCCUGGCAGAAUAAAGGGGGUUGGACUUCCCCCGCCUUGCACAAUUACUUAACAAAAAGUAACAAAGAAUUCAUUCUAUCGUUAUAGUUACGAUACAGACCCCUAACAAUAUUUAAGAAACAUUUUAGAAACUAUUAUGUGCACCUGCCUAAUUUAGUAAUGAGUAUUGAAACAUUUUUAUUGCUUGCACAGGCCUAUUAAAUUAAAGAUUUUGGGGUCUCUCCCAACAAAGGAGAUCCGCGCUAGACCCGGCAAGGAGGGCUGCGCAACACCUGGCGAGCUCACGGGAAGCAAAUGAAAGUUUUCCCUAUUCCCAAUAAAGAAGUCUCACCCAGGUUGGAAGCAGAGGUCACCAAGUUUAUUCUGGUCCAGCUGGAGCAGUAUGAUGGCAGCAAUAAGAUGCAAGAAGAACCGGCAUACCAUUACACAGAAAAAAGCACUUUUAAUACUUUACAAUUUUGAAUUUUCCACCCCUGUCAGGAGGCAGGAGGGGUGAUCUGGGGGGUCUGCGCAUCUCCUCCAAUGGGAGCGCGAGCCCCACUUGUGACAUCACUCCCUCAGCAGCCAAUGAUGAGAUGGAGGCGCUGCAAUGGGAAAAACAAUGGUGAAACAUAUGUUGAUGAUGGGAUUAUGAGUGACUCUAUAGCGAGCCUUUGUCAAGCGAUCCGGUGAAAGCCUCUGGGCUCUCGAACCAGACCUAGUUAUAGAUCCAUUGAUUGAUUUUGCACGUUUAAUGGAGAGUCUGACACACGCUGAGCCAGCCUCAUUGUGAAGGAAGCAGUCAUGGCAAGAACCUUGAUGGGAUUAUGUAUGAUUCAACACUGGUGACUUCUUUCUCUCUGGCAGGAGAAUGAGUCUUUUAUGAUGAGUGAUUUUUGAAUGUCCAAGGGUCCCUUUCUCCCUAGAUGGCCUGGCAUCUGUGCCCUCUGAGAUCCAGGAGGAAGUCCAUUGUCUUCUUCUGCAGAUGAUAAUACAUGUCAAUAAUACAUAGCCUUAGGCAUCCUGGUGGUGCCUGGCUGGGUUGGUAUGCUGGCCAGAGUUCAUGUUAGGGUCACAAUGCCUCGUUCAUAAGGGGUAAGGCAUCAUAGGAAAUAAUAAAGACAAAUAAUAAUAAU